rnacentral:rRNA from 1 species
ACGGAGGAUGCAAGCGUUAUCCGGAAUGAUUGGGCGUAAAGCGUCCGCAGGUGGCAAUGUAAGUCUGCUGUUAAAGAGUCUAGCUCAACUAGAUAAGAGCAGUGGAAACUACAUAGCUAGAGUACGUUCGGGGCAGAGGGAAUUCCUGGUGUAGCGGUGAAAUGCGUAGAGAUCAGGAAGAACACCGGUGGCGAAGGCGCUCUGCUAGGCCGUAACUGACACUGAGGGACGAAAGCUAGGGGAGCGAAUGGGAUUAGAUACCCCAGUAGUCCUAGCCGUAAACGAUGGAUACUAGGCGUGGCUUGUAUCGACCCGAGCCGUGCCGUAGCUAACGCGUUAAGUAUCCCGCCUGGGGAGUACGCCGGCAACGGUG